UCUGCAAAGUGUCCCAUCGCAUUUAGUUUUUAGAUUAAAUGAGGAAAGUCCGGACAACGAAGGGCACCGCACCGCUUAAUAAACGGGCAUGCAAAAGUGCAUGACAGAAAGUGUCACAGAAACUAUACUUCCAUCCCGACGGGGGUGGUAAAGGUGAAAACGUGCGGUAAGAGCGCACGACUCUCAGAAGUAAUUCCAAGAGUGGACAAACCUUGCGGGUUGAAAUGUCAUGUAUAUUUCGCUUCCAUUUGGAGUCGGCUUGCCCGGCCAACGGUUUAAUCCGGCGAAAGGGGUAGACAGAUCAGAUAAAUGAUGGGAGAUUUACUUAUUGUAGAUUACAGAAUCCGGCUUACAGCUUUGCAAAUUUU
rnacentral:RNase_P_RNA from 1 species